UCCGUAGGGUCCAAGCGUUAUCCGGAAUCACUGGGCGUAAAGCGUGCGUAGGUGGCGUGUUAAGUGUGAUGUUAAAUCGCGGGGCUCAACCCUGUCGGUGCAUCGCAUACUGGCAUGCUAGAGGGAAGCAGAGGCAAGUGGAAUUUGUAGUGUAGCAGUGAAAUGCGUAGAUAUUACAAGGAACACCAAUGGCGAAGGCAGCUUGCUGGGCUUCUUCUGACACUGAGGUACGAAAGCGUGGGGAGCGAACAGG
rnacentral:rRNA from 1 species